rnacentral:rRNA from 1 species
AGUGAACGCUGGCGGUAGGCCUAACACAUGCAAGUCGAACGGCAGCACAGUAAGAGCUUGCUCUUACGGGUGGCGAGUGGCGGACGGGUGAGGAAUACAUCGGAAUCUACUUUUUCGUGGGGGAUAACGUAGGGAAACUUGCGCUAAUACCGCAUACGACCUACGGGUGAAAGCAGGGGAUCUUCGGACCUUGCGCGAUUGAAUGAGCCGAUGUCGGAUUAGCUAGUUGGCGGGGUAAAGGCCCACCAAGGCGACGAUCCGUAGCUGGUCUGAGAGGAUGAUCAGCCACACUGGAACUGAGACACGGUCCAGACUCCUACGGGAGGCAGCAGUGGGGAAUAUUGGACAAUGGGCGCAAGCCUGAUCCAGCCAUACCGCGUGAGUGAAGAAGGCCUUCGGGUUGUAAAGCCCUUUUGUUGGGAAAGAAAAGCAGCAGGUUAAUACCCCGCUGUUCUGACGGUACCCAAAGAAUAAGCACCGGCUAACUUCGUG